ensembl:lncRNA
CUUCAUUUCAACUCUGUAAUCAGUGAAUAAAAACCCUUUUACUACCAUUUUAAGACAGACACUUUGUACUUUUAAUAAAACAUUAUUGGUUUUGGAGAAUACUGAGGUUUAAGAGUACUACAAAAAUGUAGGCCUAUGUAUGUGUAUGAAGUGUUCAGAUGCAAAAAUUUAAUCUGAAGGAUUUAUUUGAAAUUUACACAGUAUCACUGAGAAAAGCUAGAUAGACAUGUACAAUACAUGUGCAACUUUUCUUCUUCUUUUUCUUCUUCUUGCUCCCCUCAGGGGUCACAACAGAGAAUCAUCUGCCUCCAUCUCCUCCUGUCCCUAGCAUCCUCUUCUGUCACACCAACCCUCUGCAUGUCCUCCUUCACUACAUCCAUGAAUAUUCUCUGUAGUCGUCAUCUUCUCCUCCUGCCUGGCAGCUUCCUUGUCAACAUCCUUUGUCUAAUAUUUCCACCAUCCCUCCUCUGCACAUGUCCAAACUUUUUCUACCUUGCCUCUCUAACUUCGUCUCCAAACCACUCAACCUUAGCUGUCCUGCUGAUGCACUGAUUUCUGAUCCUGGCUAUUCUGGUCACUCCCAGUGAAAAUCUUAACAUUUUCAGCUCAGCUAUACUCACUUUCAGCUCAGCUAUACUCACUCAGUCAUCCAGGUCCUGGAUGACUGAGAACCUUCACAGACAUACUCACCCAAAAAACAUUUUUCAUCUAGAAUAAUUCUACAGUUUGAUCCUUGUAUGUUGCUGACUCUAAAAAAGUAGAAGCAUCUCAUUUGUAGGUUAUACACCCUUAAAUAAGUUUAGUUGAUAGUUUAAUGAGUAAUGGCCAGAAGCCAAAAAAAGAGAAAAGCAAACUGUUGUGGAAGAUGAGAUGACAGCAAUGGGAGGAGAAUCUGAAGCCAGGCAUUAUGUAUUAUUCAGUGGAUUAAAUCGAGAGUUGACAAACAAAGUCAAACAUUGAGGUUAGGAGUGUGUCACCCCUGCAGUGAAUGAAAUGAGGCAGAAACACACCCAAAACUACACUACCCCAGCAUAAACAGCAGGAAAACCACUGAAGUCAAGCCUAGAAAGAAACUGAAGACUAAACUACAUGUGAUCUUCUGCUUACGUUAUACUAAGCCUGUGUGGUCUUCUGCUGCCGUAGCCCAUUUGCGUCAAGGUCUGAUGGGUUGUGCAUUCAGAGAUGCUCUUCUGCAUACCUUGAUUGUAACAAGCAGUCUGACCAUUCUCCUCUGACCUCUGACAUCAACAAGGUGUUUUCACCCAGCGAUCUACCACUCACUGGAUAUUUUCCCUCUUUUCAGAUCAUUCUCUGUAAACCCCAGAGAUGAUUGUGUGGGGAAAAUCCCAGUAAAUUCUGAAAUACUCAGACCAGCAAAUCUGGCACCACCUUUCUUCCCAAUUCUGAUGCUCAGUUUAAACUUCAGCAGGUCAGCUACACCAGUCUUUCCCAAACACUGAGAAAUGAUCAGGCGUGCCGUGGAAGAUUAUCUGGUUCCACCUCAUUAGUACUCUAAGCGACCAGCGUUAGUAACAGGCAGAGUAAUUACAUUCUCUUCCACUAGAGGGCAGUACAACUACCUGCUCUAAUUAAAUGGGUUGCCAACUGUUAAGGUUCAAAAAUAUAGGGAAGGAAACACAGGAGGAAUGCAAGUAACCACACUGGUCCAAAGGGUAAAGACGAUGAUUUUAAUGAAAUGACACGCGUGGGAGAAUGAGCGGACUCCGUAAGCAGACAGCCCCACAAUCUCAUCCUCCUAACAUCAAAAUACAGUUUUAUAUGCAUCAGAGUAUAUUUAGUGACGCCCCCUCAUUGCGUCAUCACAUACAUCAGCUUCAAAACCACAAAUGUUCUAUUUGACAGCUUAAGGCACAAUUAAAAGUACACUGGCUUCCAUCUUCUCCCGGUG